rnacentral:rRNA from 1 species
AGAGUUUGAUCAUGGCUCAGGAUGAACGCUAGCUACAGGCUUAACACAUGCAAGUCGAGGGGCAUCAGUUUGGUUUGCUUGUAAACCAAAGCUGGCGACCGGCGCACGGGUGAGUAACACGUAUCCAACCUGCCUCAUACUCGGGGAUAGCCUUUCGAAAGAAAGAUUAAUAUCCGAUAGCAUAUAUUUCCCGCAUGGGUUUUAUAUUAAAGAAAUUCGGUAUGAGAUGGGGAUGCGUUCCAUUAGUUUGUUGGCGGGGUAACGGCCCACCAAGACUACGAUGGAUAGGGGUUCUGAGAGGAAGGUCCCCCANAUUGGAACUGAGACACGGUCCAAACUCCUACGGAGGCA